rnacentral:rRNA from 1 species
CAGCAGUCGCCGCGGUAAUACGGAGGGAGCUAGCGUUGUUCGGAAUUACUGGGCGUAAAGCGCGCGUAGGCGGUUACUCAAGUCAGAGGUGAAAGCCCGGGGCUCAACCCCGGAACUGCCUUUGAAACUAGGUGACUAGAAUCUUGGAGAGGUCAGUGGAAUUCCGAGUGUAGAGGUGAAAUUCGUAGAUAUUCGGAAGAACACCAGUGGCGAAGGCGACUGACUGGACAAGUAUUGACGCUGAGGUGCGAAAGCGUGGGGAGCAAACAGGAUUAGAUACCCCAGUAGUCCCUGUCUCUUAUAC